rnacentral:misc_RNA from 1 species
CCGAGUUUACAACUCCCAAACCCCUGUGAACAUACCUAUAUGUUGCCUCGGCGGAUCAGCCCGCGCCCCGUAAAACGGGACGGCCCGCCGCAGGAUCCACAAACUCUGUUUUUAUUGUAACUCCUGAGUAACAAAACAAAUAAAUCA